rnacentral:rRNA from 1 species
GACGAACGCUGGCGGCGCGCUUAACACAUGCAAGUCGAGCGGAAAGGCCACUUCGGUGGUACUCGAGCGGCGAACGGGUGAGUAACACGUGAGUAAUCUGCCCCUGGCUUUGGGAUAGCCACCGGAAACGGUGAUUAAUACCGGAUACGACCACUUCUCGCAUGGGAUGGUGGCGGAAAGUUUUUUCGGCCAGGGAUGUGCUCGCGGCCUAUCAGCUUGAUGGUGAGGUAAUGGCUCACCAUGGCUUCGACGGGUAGCCGGCCUGAGAGGGUGACCGGUCACACUGGGACUGAGACACGGCCCAGACUCCUACGGGAGGCAGCAGUGGGGAAUAUUGGACAAUGGGCGGAUGCCUGAUCCAGCAACGCCGCGUGAGGGAUGACGGCCUUCGGGUUGUAAACCUCUUUCAGCAGGGACGAGGCGCAAGUGACGGUACCUGCAGAAGAAGCACCGGCCAACUACGUGCCAGCCGCCGCAGUAA